GCUAGGGCAAUCAACGAUUUUAAAUGAUAGAAUAUAGAGUUAUUAAGUAACUUACAGAGUUACAGGGCUUCCAGAGAGAAUUGAAUAGAAUUUAUAGACCUAAAUUACACAGAUAUUGGUCCACAGGUCGACAGGGUUUCAUCCAUGUUUUAUCAGGAAUUUGUCCGGAAAAAAAAUUUUGACCCUUAAUUUAACUGGUUUUUGUCCGGAAAAAGUUUUUCGACCCUUUUUUGAAUGUCUGAAAAUUUUUUUUUCAACCUCCUCUUCCCCCCCCCCCCCGCCCUGGUCUGACAUAUGAAGAAGCAUUACUGGACUGAUGUAACCUUAAAACAUUAGAAACUCGUAGGGAAGAGAUGUGUGGAAAACCUUAUAAAAAAUAAUGGUAGACCCUAGACAUGGAUUACAUAGUUUAUUGCCAGAAACAGUUAAUCAGAUAAGACCACUCUCCUCCGCAGAGACUUACGAAUUUUUAGUAAAAUUACGUAAUAUUACGGGGGGAGGGACAAAUUACGCAAGGUAUUAUGGGAAGACGGAAGCUACGUUUGUAAACCAUCGAUCUCACUCCCCCCCCGUCGCGCACCACUAAAUGUCCUCUACUAUCCCUACAUUAUCCCUACAAAUCCUAUAAUAAUUCAGACUCUGCGGAGGAGAGUGAGAUAAGACAGAGACAAACUAGAUCAAAUGGAGAAAAACUGUAUAAUUUUAGAUAUCGAAACGAACGAUUUAAAAAUAGCCCUAUUGUCUUAUUGAGUAUUGUGCAUGGGAUUGAAAGUUUUAACAGAAGGCUUGAGUUGAAGUAAAUUUGUCGAUCCCUUAGUUAGAAUUCUUAUAAAUUUUAAAUGGAAUUCACAUUGUAAAUUAGUAUAUACUAUUUUUAUGGAAGAUUAAAAAAGAUUAACACGCAAGUACUCAAUAAAUCAAUGAGACGCACAUGUUUAAUAUAUCUGUCACCUGCAUGUGAUUGCCCUUUAACCCCUGGUGUUGGCAACAACUGCAUUUCUCGAAUCGAUUCCGUAUGCUUUGGCCACAGUGCUCACCAGUCGCUGGCUCGCUGCGAGUAAUAACUGUGCUUUAUAUAAUUUGUACUAUUUAGUUCUAUUUGCUCUUAAUGCCCGCAGCAAUCCCUACCUUGCAGGAAGUGGUUUGUUUUGUCGAACUUGCCCGCCUCAAAUGUCCAUGUUUAUAAUAAUCAACACGGGAUUAAAUCAUCUCGCAGCAAAGCGAGAUAGCUCGGUUGCCUGUUAUGUAAAUGCUAAUGCCAAACUCCACACUUCUUAUUUUCGUCUUAUAUAAGGUAUACACAAAAUGCCUUCGCUUGGCACUUUACGAUCCAGUUCAAAACAAAAUCAAAAGAGUAACAGCGACCCACUGCAAACAGCUCAUAGAUUAGAAACGAACAACAUAUAGAUUGCAGACUUUAUAUACUAGCUUUAUAUGCUAGCUUUAUAUACUAGCUUUAUAUACUAGCUUCCCGAGGGCCGAGACUUUAUAUACUAGCUAAUUCCCGAUGAAGUGCUUUCGCUCGAAACGUGGUAUAGAGUACAGUGCAUUCCAUGUAUAAAACGAUACGCCAGAUUUUAAUACGCCAUGGAAAACUUGUGCUAGGAAGACUUGAGACAAAAAGUCUUUGGAAUACCCUAAAUAUGCUUGUAAUAAAUAUGCUUUGUACUGGGAAACCCCGCAACAUCGUUAUAGCAUUCUGAUUGGUUCGAUCCCUCCGAUCCCUUAUAUGUGCUUUCGGCCAAUCAGCAAAGACUUUACGAGAGGUGCUAUACUUCUGUUUUUCUGGCUUACUGCGCGGAAAUAUAAAUGGCACCGUGUCUGAUUUUAGCUUUGGCCUUUUUUGGUAGCCAGGCACAAGAUCGAGCGUUCUUUCGAAGCAGUCUGGUGUAAAAUGCGCCGAACAAACACAUGAAUUAUUUAUAUCGCGUGGGUUUACUCUGCGAAUUCUCGCCAACAACGCUUCUCGCAAACCUUUUUCUUUUGGAAUUCUGUGGUAGCUGAUUCGCACAGUUUUCCGUGAGUUGUUAGUACACUCAGGAACCAUGCAAUGUGGCAUCUUCGGUUACAAAUAUUUAAAAGGAAACUCUAAAG